UACGUAGGGGGCAAGCGUUGUCCGGAUUUAUUGGGCGUAAAGAGCGUGUAGGCGGUUCGGUAGGUCCGUUGUGAAAACUCGAGCUCAACCUCGAGACGCCGAUGGAAACCCCCGAACUAGAGUCCGGAAGAGGAGAUUGGAAUUCCUGGUGUAGCGGUGAAAUGCGCAGAUAUCAGGAGGAACACCAACAGCGAAGGCAGAUCUCUGGGACGUUACUGACGCUGAGGAGCGAAAGCGUGGGGAGCGAACAGG
rnacentral:rRNA from 1 species